GACGCUGGCGGCGUGCUUAACACAUGCAAGUCGAACGGAGUUCCUUGGAUAGAAGGCUUCGGCCAAUUGAAAUGGAACUUAGUGGCGGACUGGUGAGUAACGCGUGAGGAACCUGCCUUUCAGAGGGGGACAACAGUUGGAAACGACUGCUAAUACCGCAUGAAACAUUCGGAUGGCAUCACCUGAAUGUCAAAGAUUUUAUCGCUGAAAGAUGGCCUCGCGUCUGAUUAGCUAGUUGGUGGGGUAACGGCCCACCAAGGCGACGAUCAGUAGCCGGACUGAGAGGUUGACCGGCCACAUUGGGACUGAGAUACGGCCCAGACUCCUACGGGAGGCAGCAGUGGGGAAUAUUGGGCAAUGGACGCAAGUCUGACCCAGCAACGCCGCGUGAAGGAAGAAGGCUUUCGGGUUGUAAACUUCUUUUAAGUGGGAAGAGCAGAAGACGGUACCACUUGAAUAAGCCACGGCUAACUACGUG
rnacentral:rRNA from 1 species